GUUUAAAUAGCUUAAUUUAUAGAGCGUGACGUUGAAGGUGUCAAGGUGAUUUGUAUAUAUCUUUAAAUA
rnacentral:tRNA from 1 species